GGUUAAGCGACUAAGCGUACACGGUGGAUGCCCUGGCAGUCAGAGGCGAUGAAGGACGUGCUAAUCUGCGAUAAGCGUCGGUAAGGUGAUAUGAACCGUUAUAACCGGCGAUUUCCGAAUGGGGAAACCCAGUGUGAUUCGUCACACUAUCAUUAACUGAAUCCAUAGGUUAAUGAGGCGAACCGGGGGAACUGAAACAUCUAAGUACCCCGAGGAAAAGAAAUCAACCGAGAUUCCCCCAGUAGCGGCGAGCGAACGGGGAGCAGCCCAGAGCCUGAAUCAGUGUGUGUGUUAGUGGAAGCGUCUGGAAAGGCGUGCGAUACAGGGUGACAGCCCCGUACACAAAAAUGCACAUACUGUGAGCUCGAUGAGUAGGGCGGGACACGUGGUAUCCUGUCUGAAUAUGGGGGGACCAUCCUCCAAGGCUAAAUACUCCUGACUGACCGAUAGUGAACCAGUACCGUGAGGGAAAGGCGAAAAGAACCCCGGCGAGGGGAGUGAAAAAGAACCUGAAACCGUGUACGUACAAGCAGUGGGAGCACGCUUAGGCGUGUGACUGCGUACCUUUUGUAUAAUGGGUCAGCGACUUAUAUUCUGUAGCAAGGUUAACCGAAUAGGGGAGCCGAAGGGAAACCGAGUCUUAACUGGGCGUUAAGUUGCAGGGUAUAGACCCGAAACCCGGUGAUCUAGCCAUGGGCAGGUUGAAGGUUGGGUAACACUAACUGGAGGACCGAACCGACUAAUGUUGAAAAAUUAGCGGAUGACUUGUGGCUGGGGGUGAAAGGCCAAUCAAACCGGGAGAUAGCUGGUUCUCCCCGAAAGCUAUUUAGGUAGCGCCUCGUGAAUUCAUCUCCGGGGGUAGAGCACUGUUUCGGCAAGGGGGUCAUCCCGACUUACCAACCCGAUGCAAACUGCGAAUACCGGAGAAUGUUAUCACGGGAGACACACGGCGGGUGCUAACGUCCGUCGUGAAGAGGGAAACAACCCAGACCGCCAGCUAAGGUCCCAAAGUCAUGGUUAAGUGGGAAACGAUGUGGGAAGGCCCAGACAGCCAGGAUGUUGGCUUAGAAGCAGCCAUCAUUUAAAGAAAGCGUAAUAGCUCACUGGUCGAGUCGGCCUGCGCGGAAGAUGUAACGGGGCUAAACCAUGCACCGAAGCUGCGGCAGCGACGCUUAUGCGUUGUUGGGUAGGGGAGCGUUCUGUAAGCCUGUGAAGGUGUGCUGUGAGGUAUGCUGGAGGUAUCAGAAGUGCGAAUGCUGACAUAAGUAACGAUAAAGCGGGUGAAAAGCCCGCUCGCCGGAAGACCAAGGGUUCCUGUCCAACGUUAAUCGGGGCAGGGUGAGUCGACCCCUAAGGCGAGGCCGAAAGGCGUAGUCGAUGGGAAACAGGUUAAUAUUCCUGUACUUGGUGUUAC
rnacentral:rRNA from 1 species